rnacentral:tRNA from 2 species
GGGCAAAUGGCCGAGUGGUUAAAGGCAGCAGACUGUAAAUCUGCCUACGUAAGUAUACGGAGGUUCGAAUCCUUCUUUGCCCA